rnacentral:rRNA from 1 species
AGAACGAACGCUGGCGGCAGGCUUAACACAUGCAAGUCGAACGCCCUCGCAAGGGGGAGUGGCAGACGGGUGAGUAACACGUGGGAACAUACCCUUUGGUUCGGAACAACGCCGGGAAACUGGCGCUAAUACCGGAUACGCCUGACGGGAAAGGCUUGCUGCCGAAGGAUUGGCCCGCGUUCGAUUAGCUUGUUGGUGAGGUAACGGCUCACCAAGGCGACGAUCGAUAGCUGGU